rnacentral:ncRNA from 1 species
GUUCUGAUCCAUGAGUAUUGACAGACUGAGAGCUCUUUCAUGAUUCGGUGGUUGGUAAUGCACGGCCGUUCUUAGUUGGUGGAGUGAUUUGUCUGAUUUAUUCCGAUAACGAGCGAAACUCUAGCCUACUAAAUAGUUACUGGAUAAUUCUAUCGAGACAAUGUCUAAGAAGUAUAAGCGGUAUUUAGUAGCAUGAACUUGAGCAAUAACUUGUCUGUGAUACCCUUAAAUGUC